AUAAAGAACGAGUGGAAAACAUUUGUAAGGUGCUUUGCCAAACAUAUUUCUCAAAUCAGCUGUUUAUUUAUUUUCUUCUUCUCAGAUAUGGCCGUAGUACCCCCCUCUGCCACAAUAAAUUGAUAUAAAUUGAAAGCGGUUUACAGCUGAAAUCACUUGAGCAUUGAAUAUCACGCGGAAUUGUUGAAAUGUCUGCGGUUACUGUUUAUUUGAUUGAUUUUCAUUAUUACAAGGAUGAAUAAAGGACUCUAUUUUGGCACUAGACUUUUAAGGUAAUUUCUAGUAUAAUAUCAAGGCCUGACAUAAUUUAUCGUGCAUCACAUCCUUCUCCCUCCAAAAUGUAUCUUUUCCAAAGCCUACUUAUAGGCUGUCCAAAAUCUCCUCAAAUGGUUUCCAAGCUGCGCGAUUUUGAGGCAUCAAUUGUCUCCACCUCUCCCGGUCUCUUCUGCAAUUCCAUCUCCGCCAGGCUGUCGCACAUAUUAAUGGGAUAGAAAUUGAUAUGCCAGAUAUCGGCAAUACUGACGGCCAUAUCCCGCUCAAAGUUGGUCAACAGCUCGUUGCUGAAGCCGCUGACUUCUGUGCUGGCGGAGCUGCAGCGGCGCAGAAUCAUCUCCGAGUGACGGCGAUAGGUGUUGGGCGUGGGCACCUGGCUGAUGUGCGGCUGUUCCGUGUUCCAGUAGUAACGGUUGAGGCGUCUCAAGGCCAGGCCAUAGAUCCAGCCAACGGUGGCAAUGAUGGUGAUGGGCACCAGCGGAUGUAUCACAGUCAAGGUGCUCAGGAAGGGGCAAAAGACCAGGCAUAAACGACUGAACGUCACCACCGAGAGCAUCAGCAAGACUCGAUUCUCGUUGGAAACCAUUUCCCCCGUACAGGUGGUCAGCACGGCUAUCGAGGCGGAGUUGGCCAGCUUCAAUAUAAGCCAGAAUAUGAGCUCCAGACCCACACGCCUUUCAGGCAGCAGCCAGACCAGGUAGGUGCUGAGCCCUGCAGCAAUCAUCAGAUUUCCUGCCCAGCGCCAAUGGCGACGCG